AUUCCAUGAUGAGGACAUUCCUGAAUGUACUCCUCGAGACGUUCCCAUGCUUCGGGAAUGGUCUCUUUUGCCUUUUAACGGAAGCUGGGAAUUCUUGCCUGCAGAGC
rfam:Sorghum bicolor cultivar BTx623 chromosome 6, whole genome shotgun sequence.